GCUGCUCCCAGCUUACCUGGAAUCACUUUCAUUUAUAGUAUCCCCAUAGGUUGGCUUUAUUUUGGGUGCAUGCAGUGCUGUUGGCUGAGUUUUAAUCUAGCCUUGGGCGGGAGCACUGUUUUGAGUUCCUUUAAUAUUGCAAUGAGACAAAAAAGGCAGAGAGCAGAAGCAGGGAGGCCAUCACGGCCUGCACGGCCUGCACAUAUCAUUCAAGCCUAAGCCUGCUACAGUUAGCAGUACAGUGAAUUCCCAGCUUACCUGGAAUCACUUUCGUUUAUAGUAUCCUCAUAGGUUGGCUUUAUUUUGGGUGAUUGCAGUGCUGUUGGCCGAGUUUUAAUUUAGCCUUGGGCGGGAGCACUAUUUUGAGUUCCUUUAAUAUUGCAAUGAGACAAAAAAGCAGAGAGCUGAAGCAGGGAGGCCAUCACGGCCUGCACGGCCUGCACAUAUCAUUCAAGCCUAAGCCUGCUACAGUUAGCAGUACAGUGAAUUGUUAAGUUUCUGUAACAUGUGACUCAUUCUCUCUAUAAGAAUGUAUCUGUUGUUUGCAGGCUCACUUGUUGCUAAUGUAUAGCUUAGGCAGACAGAGUGGAGCCAGAGGCUCUCUGUGCCUCCAAUGAGCACUCUUUGUAUGCUCUUUAACUAUGCUGUUUCUGAACAAGUUUAUUUUCUUCAAGUUUGUUUUUCCCUGAUAGUGGCGACUGCCAUUUUAGAGACAAGCCAUUGUGGCUUAGUGGCUAGAGUACAGGACUAGGACCUGGGAGACAGGGUUCAUAUCCCUCACUUAGCCAUUGUUAUAACAAGGCAAAACAAGCUGCUCCUUUUGGACUAUUUUGUUGCUGGGUAGUUUGGCCCAUUUGUGAUAUUGCUCCCAAAAAGAACUUUGGGUUUCUUGAGGAGGUGCUUCCCUCUAAAGGGCAAGCAGGGGUACCUGGACAUGCGGUGGGCUGCCUCGAGUUUGUUAUCUCAUUGGAAACAUUUAUGUCUGGCCUAGCAGGUGAUCCUAGGGCUUGGCCCGCUUGGCCCUAGAAUUUGAUGGCCUCUGGCAGCGUUUCUGGCCUGAAUAGCGUCCCCAUGUGGUGCACAAAGCAUUGGUUUCACCUGUUCCUCACAUUGUUUAGGUUUUUUCUUUUCGCAGACUAUGACAGGGCCUUUGCAGAUGCCUCCAGAGCUUGCCUCUCCUGCAGAGGAUGACUUGUUGAUGCCCCAGGUGCCUUCUUCAGGAAGGAGGCGUCUUCAGAGGCAGGAAAAAGCAUAGCAGGGAUGAUGCUUACACCUCCUUGCAGGUAAAUCAUCACUGGGCUCUGAUGAUGAUUCAGACAUCACCUUGGACCUCUCCAGGGGUCAGGGUGAGGCUGUUCCAGGUCUUUAGGGAGCAUCCUGGAUAGCUCAGCUGGUCAGCGUAUGGUGCCGGUAAUGCCUAGGUUGCAGGAUUGGUCCCUGUAUGGGACAGCUGCAUGCUCCCUCAUCACUUUACCCGGACACUGAGGUCCAGUGCCGAGGGCCUUUCUGGUGGUUCCCUCACUGUGAGAAGCCAAGUUACAGGGAACCAGGUGGAGGGCUUUCUCGGAAGUGGCACCUGCCCUGUGGUACACCCUCCCACCAGAUGUCUACUACCAGACUUUUAGAAGACAUCUAAGGCAGCCCUGUUUAGGGAAGCUUUUAAUGUUUGAUGCAUUACUGUAUUUUAAUAUUUUGUUGGAAGCUGCCCAGAGUGGCUGGGGAAGCCCAGCCAGAUGGGCGGGGUACAAAUAGAUGAUGAUGAUGAUGAUGAUGAUGAUGAUGAUGAUGAUGAUAUUGUGGGAGAGUGGACUAGAUGAUCCUAGGAGUCCCUUCCAACCCCACUAUUCUAUAAGUGGUAAUUCACUAUGAUGGGAAUGUUAGACGCAGGGCUGCCAUCAUCCCCUUAGCUCGCUAGGAUCGCAGGGACGGGGACAUGUGGACCACUUGCGCAGCUCCACAUUUCAAAUGGAAAUUCCCUGAGCAAUAGAACCUGAAGCUGGUAUGCAGGAAGCUGGCCCGGUGGCAGCUUUGUUGGGACUUCUUUAGGGUCUCUGGCCAGUGUUGGCCCUGUAAAUUUACACAUCAUGGUGGCAACACAAGGCAGGGCUUCUUGCCCAAGCGGGGGCUGGCAAGCAAUAACUCAAUACCUCUCGCCCAUAUUUCCAUAAAAAUAUCUCCCUUUAAAGCCUGGCUAAAAGGUUAUCUAGAUGCGUCAGUAGCUUUGUGCUUGUGGGAAGGGUUUUUCUCCAAGGUUUCGGGAUUCCUCUGGCUUUUCAGCCAGUGGCUCAGAAUACAGCAACUCAAAAGUCAGUUAGAGUCUGUGGUAGCCAGAAAGUCUGUGGUAGCCAGAAAGAAGGUUAGGAAGCAGCUUGCAUUGGGACGUAUGGUGGGAUCCCCUUGAUUCUCCUUCUAGUCCCGAUUUUCAUUUAUCCCCAUUGGGGAUCGUCCCUAAGAAAGCCCCAUAUAAUUCCAUCUGAUCCAUAUUUAUCGCACCCCAAAGGCACCUCAGUGAAUGAUGCUAUCCCUCCGGAAUUGUUCCGUGAAAUAUGCAUCUUUGGAUCAGGCAGUUGAGCUUACCAACAAAUUGGAGGAGGUGCCUUGUUGGCAUUAUGCGAUAUUGAAUCGGCUGUUAGGCUGCUGCCGGUUCACCCUCAAGAUUUUAAGUAGUUAGGCUUUAAUUGGAUGGUCCUUAUAUGGAUAAGGCGAUGCCAGUUGGUUGCUCAAUAGGCUGUGCAGCACUUGAGUCCUUUAGCGCCUUUCUGGAUUGAACAUUGCGAGUCAAGACUCGUUUAACUGGGGGUAUCGUUAUGUGGAUUAUUUUACUGGCUGGUUCAUGUGACACCAGCCUCUGCUUAGCUUACUAGAUGCCCCUUUAUUCCCUGAGGAGCUGGGUGUUCUGUUGGCAGUGGAGGACAGUGGCUCCUACUGCCCCUUUUAAUGUAUUUGGGGGCUAGCUGGAUACCGUUGCUCAAACAUCUGCUUGCCUGUGGAAAAGCUGUUUGCCUUGAAGGAUGUUAUUCUUGUAAUACUUCCUCUGAAGCAAGUGUUGCUUUGUCAGAUCCUAUCAUUCCUAGGUCAGUUAAAUUUUGCAUGCAGGGUGGUUGCUCCAGGCUGCCCCUUCCAUUCCUGCUUGGCCAGGUGGUCUCAUGGCCCGGUGUCCCUUCAUCAUCAUGUACAGUGGCCUUGAGCCUGGCAGGGCAAGGCAAUCACAUGUAACCUAACUUUCUUGAGUUUUCCUCAUUGUAGUGUCAGCGCACAUCUGGACUGAGGAGUUUAGGGACCGUCAGGUCUGUCUUGGUCUGAUAACCAGGCAGUGUGAGAGUCCUGGCAAAACGGUCUUCAUGCUCUGGCAGAGUCUUCGCACUGCUUAAGGUUUAAUAUUGCGUUUCUGCUCACUUUAUUUCGGGAUCAUCUAAUGUUUUUGCUGUGGCUCUAUCCCGUUUUUUCAGUUGGAGAGCUUCAGAUCCUGGGCUCUGGACACCCAGCUAUUUUUCUGGAGCUCCUGUGGCACUUGGCGACAAUUAAUAAUUAUGAGGAAUAGUAGCUUACGUUUCCCCAUCCGCUUUCAGGUCUUAUGAGAAGGCCUGGACUGAUUUCUUAAAAUUUAGCUGGUAGUCCUCGGCCAUUCAGAGGAACCUGCCCCCAUCCUCUGAGCAGGACCUGCAGUAAUUCGCCCACCUGCUGCAGAUAGGAUGCAGUGUUAAAACUAUCAGAAUUCAGUCCGCUGCAAUGUCUGCUAGAGUAAAGCUUUAAUUUUCAGAGACCCUUCUAAAAGUGUGUCAUGCGCAGGGUCUCGGAAGGUUGGAAUAGGCUCUGACCUUCACAGGACAGCAGGCAGGAAGCCGGUCAAUCUUUGACCUAUGCAGUAUCUGCAACAAGUUGAGACUUGUUGGCUGGUUCAAGAUCAAGACGAGACUUAUUUCAGUAUUCCAUUGUAAUUUUGGUGUACUGAGGGUUGGGGAAAUUGUGUUGGAGCCAGCACGGGGCUGAGAGUUUGGAGGCUUAUUGCCACAGGACUUUUCCUUAUCUGCUUUGGAGCUUGUCAUAAGUGUCUGGAGCUCUAAGUCAGACCUAGUGAGCAGGGUUGCCACCAUCAGGCUUCCAGUCACAGGUGAGGUGGGCCCUUGCCCUGUUAUUGGAUACCGGAAAUAUUUGGCUUUUCGUUCCCCUGGGGGCUGGCUCAAUCCUAGUGCACAGAAAUGGGUUCCGGUUCGACAGGCAUCUAAUUGCUCACGUCGUGCGCCAGUUAUUGCAGCCUGCGGCUUGCCUACCGCUGAACACGCCUCAUUCCUUCCAAAUAGGUGCUGCUGCAAAGGCUGCGCAUUGGGGCCUGUUAGUAGACAGGAUUGUGAAUACGGGUCAUUGGAAGUCUGACGCUGACAAAGGUUAUGUCAGGAAGCAUCGCCAAUGAUGCCUGUGCUGAUGCCUGUCUGUUAUUCCUUUUUCAUAGGAGCAGCUGUGCGCAUUUGGAUUGUCGGCCACAGCAUCAUGCACUGAGCUGGCAAGCACCCUGACGAGUCUGGACUGGGGGCGCCAUCUCGGCCUUCCUGCCCAUGUUUCUAGCUCCAGUCCGCAUCUGGAUUGUGGGGCACAGCAUCGUUUACUGGGCUGGCAUCAGAGCUAGGCAGUCUGGAAGGGGACUGGGUCUUGGCCUCCCGCAGCAUGUGCAGGUGUUGUGGAUGUCCAGGCGCAGAAUGCAGUGGAGCGAAUUCAUCCCGCUAAUUAAGCAGAGGGUGCUUUCGGAUGGCCACCAUGGCAAUUGUGGUUCAGCUGGGGAGAACGAUGUGGCAACUUAUGAUUGCUUUACUUUGCGCUCCACGAUUCAGAGAGACUUGGGUGAAUUGGUGACCUUAAUACCCACAGUUAAAAUAUUUUGGUCACAAUUGCUGCAAAGGCGCAAUUGGCACGGCAUUUCUCGACCUGAGGCUGCUGAAAGGGCCAGGAAGCGCAUUAAUUCUGCAGUGUGUAAGAAGGUGGCGGAUUUGGGUGGAUUGGUUAUUUCCCGCCCGGAUAUUACCUUCAAGGCUCUGGCCCUUUACCGCAAUGAUGGAGUACAUCUCUCUGUACUGGGGAAUGAUGUUUGGUUGGAUGCGGUAACUGCAAGGUUGAAGGUUGGGUUGGGAUUGUGAGUGGUUGGCGGCGAGCGUAAAGGGCUCGAUUGGCGGUUAGGCAUUGGUUAUAAAUUGGUGGAGGAGGGGUUAGGAUAGGCUGGGCCUGCCCCUCCAUGGUUGCUGCGGAAAGGGAAUUCCGUUAAAGGAAUCCUGGGGCUUG
rnacentral:lncRNA from 1 species